AUGCUAGAUGGGAUGAAAUUUAUUCCAUCUAUCUGGAAUUUGAUGACAAGCAAAGCAUGCUAUUCUGUUGAAAACUUGCAGUCAUAAUCAGUAAUACUGCAUCAAUAUUACAUUUUAUUACCAACCUAGAUGUGAUAAAUUUCAUUAUUAAUGUAAAAAACUUCGUUUUAAAUCUUUGAGAAAGGAAAUCAAUCUAUUCAUUUGCUCUGUCUAAAGAAGUUGGAAAAUUUCCCUUUCCAUUUGGCAUUUUGCGUCUCAUUUUUUAUCUCUUGUUGAGCAGGAUCUUGCAGG
rnacentral:misc_RNA from 1 species